rnacentral:sRNA from 1 species
AGAAUGUAGAUCUAGUAACUGGUUGUCAGUAAGUGGGAGGAUUAGUAAUAUGUCAGUAAGUGGGAGAAUUAGUGAUUUGUCAGUAAGUGUGAGAAUUAGUGAUUUGUCAGUAAGUGGGAGAAUUAGUGAUUUGUCAGUAAGUGGGAGAAUUAGUGAUUUGUCAUUAAGUGGGAGGAUUAGUGAUUUGUCAGUAAGUGGGGGAAUUAGUGAUUUGUCAGUAAGUGGGAGAAUUAGUGAUUUGUCAGUAAGUGUGAGAAUUAGUGAUUUGUCAGUAAGUGGGGGAAUUAGUGAUUUGUCAGUAAGUGGGAGAAUUAGUGAUUUGUCAGUAUAUAUUAUCGGAGAAAAAAACAGUUUAAAAUAGGAGAUCAAUAUCAAAAAGACUAUUUAAAUAAUACUAAAUAAGUAUUCAAGUAAGAAAUACAAUAUGCAAUUCUUGAUUCAUAUAUCGACUAUUCAAAUUAGCAAUUCAUUUUCUCCAUCAGCAGUCUGAAACGUGUAAUAUAGAUGUAAAUGUUGGAUAGGUUUAGAUUUCGUUGACGUAUUUUUUAGUCAAACGCAGUCAACACUUCUAUCUUCCCGCCGUGUUACUUUUUAGCAGACGUCAAGUUUUUUUAAAACUUGGGUGUGUGUGUAAAUGAUUUUGUAAAUGACUUUUUGUUCUGAAGUUUAACAGUUGAAUUUUCCCCAUUGGAUUACAAUUCACUUGACACAAGCGUAAACAAUGUGGUGGAAACUAGAAGAAAUGAAACGGCUUUAUGAUCAAGUGAUGGAUUUAAGAGAUCGUAAAUUCGACGGGUACCCUCUCUUUGAUUCGCCCCUGGUGUCGCUGUUGAUCCUCACCUUGUAUAUUUCCUUUGUCUGGUAUGGAACCAAAUGGAUGGAAACUCGCAAGCCGCUGAAACUGAAAGAAAUUAUG